GACGAACCGUGCGAACGUUGUUCGGAAUCACUGGGCGUAAAGCGCACGUAGGCGGAUUCUUAAGUCGGUGGUGAAAGCCUGGAGCUCAACUCCAGAACUGCCUUCGAUACUGAGAGUCUUGAGUCCGGGAGAGGUGAGUGGAACUGCGAGUGUAGAGGUGAAAUUCGUAGAUAUUCGCAAGAACACCAGUGGCGAAGGCGGCUCACUGGCCCGGUACUGACGCUGAGGUGCGAAAGCGUGGGGAGCAAACAGGG
rnacentral:rRNA from 1 species